rnacentral:lncRNA from 1 species
AUACUGGUGUCAUACUGGGAGCUGGGGGGGUUAUACUGGUGAUACUGGUGCCAUACUGGGAGCUGGGGGGGUUAUACUGGUGAUACUGGUGCCAUACUGGGAGCUGGGGGGGUUAUACUGGUGAUACUGGUGUCAUACUGGGAGCUGGGGGGGUUAUACUGGUGAUACUGGUGCCAUACUGGUGUCAUACUGGGAGCUGGGGGGGUUAUACUGGUGAUACUGGUGCCAUACUGGUGUUAUACUGGUCCUUUACUGGUCCCAUCCCAGUUCCAUACUGGUCUCAUCCCAGUUCCAUCCCAGUUCCAUACUGGUUCCAUCCCAGUUCCAUACUGGUCCCAUCCCCUCCCUACGCCACUUCCGUUGCACUGCGCACUCCUUACGCCGUUUCCGUACCUUUCCGCGCCGUUGCGCCGUUUCCGUAGCGCUCCGUCCGCAUCAUCCCGUUACGCCGUUUGCGUAUCUUCCCGUCCUUCUGCUCUCCCUUACGCCGUUUGCGUAUCUCUCCGUCCUUUUACGCCGUUUCCGUCCCUCCGGUCUCUUUUACGCCUUUUGCGUCCCCCCAUCCCGUUACUCUGUUUCCGUACCUCUCCAUCCCGUUACUCUUUUUGCGUAUCUCCCCAUCCCCCCUUACGCCUUCUGCGUAACUCCCCAUCCCUCUUCUCCGUUUCUCUGUCUCCUCAUCCCCUCACGCAGUUUGCGUACCUCCUCUCCCCGUUACGCCUUUGGCGUAUCCCCCCCAUCCCAUUACGCCUUUUGCGUAACUUCCCAUCCAGUUACUGCAUUUCCAAAACUCCUCAUCCCAUUACGCCUUUUGCGUAUCUCCCCAUCCCGUUACUCCAUCUCCGUACCUCCUCUCCCCUUACGCCAUUUGCGUACCUCCUCCCCCAGUUACUCCGCUUGUAUAUCCCCCCAUCGCGUUACGCCUUUUGCGUAUCUCCCCAUCCCGUUACUCCAUCUCCGUACCUCCUCUCCCCUUACGCCAUUUGCGUACCUCCUCCCCCAGUUACUCCGCUUGUAUAUCCCCCCAUCGCGUUACGCCUUUUGCGUAUCUCCCCAUCCCGUU